UCCCUGCACGGUCACUACCUCCUCUGCAGCCCUGCCUGGCACCUGGUCCUGUGCGUCACCCCUCCUGCUGCCCACCUGGCCUCCCUCCAUCCAGCCCACUCCCUCCUCCUGGCCUCACCCCUCUCAUCUCAAGCUGCAAUUACAGCUAAUCAGAUACCUGAGCCGCUCGAGAAGCUAUUAGCAGCUCUCCUGCCCGGUGGGAAAUCAGCCGGGCUGGACAAUUAGCUUUUUAGUUCCAACUCAGAUUCUGAUGCAAGCAAUAAACAACUCAGCUCUGCUGCCUGCCCGCACCGCCACCUCCGCCUGCAUCCUCUCUCCUCCUCUUGCAUCUCCUCCACCUGGGCAGACCCCACCCAGAUGCCCCUCAGGCUGGGGGUAUCCUUUGCCUAUUUGGCCCAUGUCAGCUCCUGACGCAGGCCACAGCAGACAGAACCUCCGCAAGCUGGAAGCCUUCAACAUUUCCCCCACUUCCGUGUCUAGAAAAAUGGGAAUGGUGUUGAUGUGACCUGUCCCUUUUCCAGGAUCUGCGGACCCUGCAGCCCCCAGGCUAAAUCCCGCCCGCCUGGUUGAAUUUCUCAAGGCCAUGUAUGUUUGUGUGUGUGUGUCUGUGUCUGCAUGUGUGUCUGUGUGCCCAUGCGCAAGCGGCUCUUUGUAAUUAAGCAGUUAAUUGCAUCGGGUUCUUGAUUAGCUUUGGGGGAUGGUAAUGUUCUAGCGAGAUGAGGUGUUGUGUACAGUUCAGAAUCAUUUAGAGAAAUUGGAGCUAAUUUUGCUGUCUGCGCUUAUUACUGCAUUAAUUUAAUUUGGGUUGCUUUUAGCUCAUUAACACAUCUAAUUAAUUCGUUGACAUCACUAUUAAGAUGUCUCUUUGAAAUUGGCGUCUCCAGAUAAUCAGGAUGGAAAGGCUGACAACACCAGGCGCAGGGCUGCCUGGGAACACAGAGGAGGGGAGGGAGAGAGACCAGACCACUAAUGAAUUUUCCAUCCGAGUCACUGAGUUCGGUGGAGGGGGUGCCAGGCAGGCGGAGGAGCUGAGACAAAGGAAGGGGGAGCCCGAGAGCUCCUGGCGGCGGCUGGCCGGGUCUUAAAUAUUGAAUUGCUUAUGAAAACAAACAGACCAGGGAGCUUGGCAAGGUGGCCCCCAACCUGCCCAGUGCCUCUCUGCCCUGAGUGUUUCCCGGUGACCCCCAACAGGGCUGCCAGGCCAGUGCCAGUGCCAGCGCCAGAUGCCCAGGCCUGAGGGGCAGCAGGAAGUUGAAAAGUUGGGCAUGCUUGUGUCUCUGCUAUUGAACACAUGGGUAAAUUGAAGCCCAGAGAUGGGAGAGGUGUGGUCCAGGCUCACAGGGAAGUUUGGGGACCUCCUCAGGGUUGACAGGAGGAUCCCAAGCCCCACCACCAGCAUGCAGGGUCCUGUGUCCCCCGAGGUCAUCGCUGGGUAGGGGGACCCACUGACCAUGGGGAGAGUGACUGGGAUGUGUCUUCCUGUGUUGUCCCUCACAUUUCUGUCUUCCAAUCUUUUACACAAUGGCCUCAUACCUUCUGGAAGGAGCCCAUUUCUUCCUCUUGUGUGGGGUGACCCUAUCUUUGUGCCCAGAUGUCCCUUCCUCCAACAAGGCUCCUGGAACUGGUCUCUUGCAAAGUAAGGACUAACAUAGAUCCUCAAGAGGAAACUCAGAGACUCAGCACAACUGGGCCAAACCUUCCUUCUUUCCUUACUUUUGGUUAAGGAUCUAUAGUGUGAAGACCCUGGGGGCCAGAGACAACUGAGUUCUCAGGUGCUCAUGUUUCCUAGGGAGAUGUCAGAUGGCUAUCACAUUGCAGGGACAAAUAAGAGGAUGAUCAGGGAUUUAGGUCAUAUAAGAUGGUGAUCUCUUGGAGUUGUAGUAGGACAUCUUUAUGCAGGUAACGCCCAAGCUGGGUUUUGAAGGAUGAAUAGAAGUUUGCCUAUGGUCAUAUUUAUCAUGUUCAAGACACUCAUACAAUUGCCAGCACACAUCAGAGAUCAACCUGGCUGAUGAGUUCCUGUAGGGUGGUUGAGCAUUUUGGCUGCUCCUGCCUGGACACAUGGCCUAAAUAGCAUGGGUGGCAUUGACUGGGCGGCUUCAUGCUCCUGUCUCCGGAGUGUGGGGGACGCGGUGGACACAGGAGCCAUCGCAACUCUCCUGUCUGCCUCCUCUGCUUGGCGAUUGUCACGGGCUCUUAUCUACUAUGUCUCCUAAAUCCCUGUGCUGAAUACCUGGGCUGUACUGAGAAACCAGGGGAAAAGGGAAUCACAGGAGCGAGUCCUAAGUUCCCCACGGCUCCUGGAACUGCAGCUGGUAGGGAGCCCUGCGGGCGCUGUGGACUCAGGAGCUGUGGCAGAGCCUAAUUCCUAGGUUAGGAACAGCCGAGAUCAGCGGUGAUAACUCACAGUAACAUGGAACAAUUCCAACAAUCCAGGGCAGUACGUUUGUGUAAAUAUGGUCUUUUUCUCUCUCACAGUACCUUAUGGAAGCUGGGUGAGGAGUGCAAGCCUGUAAUCCCAGCUACUCAGGAGGCUGAGACGGGAGGAGGAUUCACCCUACGCAGGAUGGCGUGCCAUUUAAAACUGAGGAAUCAUAGGCUUCUGGAAUUUUCCAUUGAAUAUUUUCAGACUGCGGUUGCCCAUGGGGAGUGAAGCUGCAGGAGGAGGGACCUGAAGGGUGAAACAGGGCCAUGGGGACCUGGCAUUGGGACACGGGCAGGCAGAGGGGCCCUGUGAGGACAGAGGAGAGGACAGGAGCAAGCUGAGGUGGGAGAGGCAGCUUCAGGCGGCUGGGGCCUUGAUGGUGGCGGGCAUUGACACCUGAGCUCAGAGCUGUGGGGUCUGCAGUGGUGCCACACAGAGGUGUCCCCCAGGGGUGUGACUACGGCCUGAACCUGUACACAGUCCCUCAACCAGACUUCUCCUGGGGCUCCAGAUUUAGGGGUGACAGCAAGCUCACCCUCCCCACUUAGCAGCCUAGCAGGUGUUACAGCACAGGGGUCCUCAAAACCUCUCAAAACCAGUUCUGCCAGUCACCCUACCCUCAGCUCCCCCCACCCCAGCCGCGUGGGAGUCCCACUUUUAACACACACCCCAAGUCCAACCCGGCCCUCCUCUGCUCUGCAGCUUGCUAUGGCUCCCACCUGCCUUGGUGUGAAGGUCCUAUGGGAGUGCGUCACUGCCACAGCCCUGUCGGCUAGCUCAGUGUCCCUGGACUUGCCCAGGCCCACCUCAAGGCCUUGAGCCUGCUCUGUCCUGCUGUGACACUGGGUUGGUGAGCUGGACUGGUGAACUCCCUUGUGAGCUACAUCGAGGUAGCACAGUAGGUGCUCAUGAAAGCCUGUUGUGCAGAGGAAGAGAGGCCUUGCUGUGAGGCCAGGACAGGUAUGGUCUGCACCAGAGCCCAAUGUCCAGGCCCAGCCCUUUCUGGGGUACUGCCUGUCUGUCCCCCUUUACCUCUAUCACUCCGUCAUUCAACAAGCAACAUUCAUAAGCAAUACUAUGUGCCCAGUGCUGCCUCACUGCCAAGGGUUCCUGGUCUCCACCACCCUCAGCCCCAAGCUCUGCCCCUUCCUCAGUCUCCUCCACCAUCACUGGUUCCAGGAGGCUUUGUGGCCAUGAGCCCCUCCCUACAGACAGCAGACCACGGCCCAGAGACUGGAGCCUGUGGAUGAGGGGCUGUUACUGCUAUGCCGCUGUCCAGGGCUGCCUUCCUGGGUGCUGUGUUCCUGGCCUUCAGGCCUGGGGGCAGCAUCAGAUGAAAGACUGGGUGUAAUGUCAAGAAUCUGGAUUCUGUCUCAGCUAUCCAAUGUCUAGCCAUGCAUGCCUCAGUUUCCUUACCUGCAAAGAUGAAAGGCAUGUACCCUGGCUCUGCCACCUCUAUAGCAGUGCACUUAGUACAAGCCACCUCAGACCCCCAGGACAGGCUGUGCCCAGCUUGGCUCCAAGCAGGGCCCCCUGUACCUCCCCAGACACUUCCAGGAGAGGCUAGGGGUGGCAAGUAACCCAGCCACAGCCAGGAUGAGGGGAAGGCAAAGGGCUGGACCCCUCCUGACAUGGCCAGGACACCUUCAGAUCUAUGGUUAAGUUGCUUUCCAUGAGACGGUCAUGCAGCCUGGAGGAGUCCCCAGCCCCCUGGGAGCAUCCUUCCUAGCUGAUCUCAGUUGGGGUCAGGAGGCUGCAGGGCUCUGCAGAGCUGGGUGAGCUGAAUGCCCACAGCCAUGGUCUUGGGGGACGUGCAGGAGGGACGGCAGGGGACAUCAUAGCACUGAGCUCAGAAUGGUGUCACAAAUGCUCUGUUGUCACCGUCCUGAGCUUCUUCACUAUCAGAUCAUUGAGUUUGUGUUUUUGACAUCACAUCCAAAAGGGACAGCAGGGCACGUGGCCAGCAAGUGGGCAGCGGGAUGUGGACGUAGCCACUUGUUUACAAUUAAAAUCGUUAUGGGUUGAGGGGGUUAUUCAGUGCUGGCUUGUUUGCUCAGUGUGCAUGAGGCUCUGAGUUCCACCCCCAGUACCAAAAAAUAAAUAAAACAAAAAUAAAAACUAUGAUGCAUGCCAUAGAGAUGGAUAGUGAAAUUCAUGUUAAUAAUUUAAAUUUAAAUUCUUUAUUUAGUAUGAUAUUAAAUAGCAAAUAUAAAACACCACAGUGCCCAAGUCACUCAUUGCAGAAAGGACAGACCUAUGGUUCUCAGAAAAUGGACCUCCAUCUGUCAAAGCAAGAAGCUGAGCCCCUACCUCACACCAUACUCAAAAACUAACUCAAAGUGGGUCAAAGGCCUAAACAAAAGCAAAAGUAUAAUAGGCUUAGAAGAAAAAGUAGGGGAAAAUCUUUGUGAUGUUAGAUUUGGCAAUGAUUUUUGGGCAUGGCACCAAAAGCAGAGGUAAUAACAGAAAAAUUGAUAAAUUAGACCCCUUUAAAAUGUAAACUUUAGGGCCAGGGAUUCAGCUCAGCAGCAUAAGUGCCUGCCAGGCAAGCAGGAGGUCAUGAGUUCAAUCUCUGGUACCCCCCACAAAAAAAUCAAACAAAAUGUAAAACUGUAGACAUCAAAGGGGGCUAUAAACAGAGAAACAAGGUAACCCACAGAGUGGCAGGAAAUAUUUGCCCACUGUAUGUCUGGUAAAGGGUCAAUAUCCAAGAUACACACUGUCUCCUGCAACUCAACAGCAAGGAAAGAAUUCCACUAAAAAUGGGCAAAGGUCUUGCACAGGCAUUUUCGCAAGGGCCAGAGAUGUAGCUCAGUUGGAGAGCGCUGGCUUCCCUCCCCAGCACACAAAAUGAAACAAAAGAAGCAAAAAACCAAAAGAAACAGUUUUCCAAGGAAGAUGUGCAAGUGAACAAUAAAUACAUGAAACAUGCUUAACAUCGCUGUUUUAGGAAGGUACAAAUCAAAACAACAAUGAAUCAGUACCGCAUACCCAUUAUCAAAAAACCAGGAAGUAGGUGUUACAAAGAUGCAAAGAAAACAGAACCCUGUGCACUCUUGGCAGGACCGUGAUGUGGUGCAGUCACUGUGGAAAACAAUAUGGAGGCUCCUCAAGAAGUUAAAAUAAGGUGCUGGGGAUUUAGCUCAGCGGCAUAAGCACCUGCCUUGCAAGCAGGAGGUCGUGAGUUCGAUCCCCGGUACCGAUAAAAAUGAAAAAUGAAAAAAGACAAAAAUAAAAAAAAAAAAAAGAAGUUAAAAUAAGCCGAGUGUGGUGGUGCACAAAUGUAAUCCUAGCUACUUGGAAGGCUGAGGCAGGAGGAUCCCAAAUUCAAGGCCACUUAGUGAGAUAGUUUAGUGAGACCCUGGCUCAAAAAAAUUACCAUAAAAUACAGCAACUUUACUCCAUGGCAGACCCCAAAAGAGUUGAAAACAGAUGCUUAAGCAGAUAUUUGAACAUCAGUUAGGGAGCAGGGACCAACAGGGUGGGUCAAGUGGUGAGACAGUAGGCUGGGUAACAAACCCCUGGGUGCGGUAAACUCCCUCUGGAGUGUAGCUGUUUCAGCAGACCCGCCUUGAGACCCUGAAGAAACCACAGAAGCAGAACGUUUGCAUGAAAUGAGAAACUGUUGCCAAAGAAGCACCUGAUCAAGCUCUCUAACUUCACUUGGGCUUAGUAAAAUUAAAAUCACUGAUUUUGGAGGUCACGCAGCUGGGGGAUGCAUCAUGAUUUCCACACUAGCUUUGCCACAGAACUCUCUGACAUGUGAGCUAUGAGAAUAGUUGCUUGGGGUUCUUCUGAGACUGCUUUUGGGUCUGUAGACAUCUGAUGGUGCCUAACAUGGGACCAAAGGCUUGACGCUUGCCUUUGUAUUGUGUCUGCCCCCUUUGCUGUCUUACCUCUUGGGUCAGAUUUUAUGCUUUGCAUGUAAACAUGUUGACCAUUUAAGGGGUGUGCGUGUGUGCCGCAGUGCUAGGGAUUGGCUCCAGGGCCUUUGCACUAAGCUACACCUCAGGCCCUCUUUUACAUUUUGAAACAAGAUCUCACUAAGUUGCUAAAUUGCUCAGACUUGGCUCCAACUUAGCUCCUCCUACCUCAGCUUCCCUGAGUGCUAGAAUUACAGGCAGGGCCACCCCAGCUGGCCAGAAAUCUCCUGUCUGACUUGGGGGAGCUCUGUGUGCAGCCUGUGGAUCUGAUAAGUCCUGAUUCCACCUCACCCUGUGUCUCUUCAGCAAGUGUCCUGCAAAUGCUGUCACAAGGCCAGGUUGUUCCUGCAGGAUGAUGACCCCAGCCGGAAGUGGAACUCAGCAAUUCCUCUUAACCACCAAGCACGAGGCACAAGGCACAAAGCACAUCAGUGCAGGGUGACAGUGUUAGGUACACAAAUAUUCAACAUCCUCUGGGACAGGCUAGCUGUGUCCAUGGGUGAUCCAACUCUGUCACAAGUAGGAAAGCCUUUAGGAACUGUGGCCCUGGCCAAGGUGAUGUGCUGGACUUUCCCCCAUUGCAGCAGAUCAUUAAAAACUUGGGACUCUCUGGGCUUGGGGAACAGCCACGUGGUCACUCUGGACCAAUUUCUUGCCAUCUUCAAUCAAAGCUCCAAGUUGGCCCAAGAGCCUCAUCCACGCCAUACUCUUUCUGUUUGUAGGGUUGGGUGCUCGUGACAUCUGGCUCAGUCUCCAUCUUCUGGCAUCGAUAUUGUAACAGUCACGUUCACGAUAGCUGAAAGGUAGACGUAACCCAAGUGUCUGUUGAUGGGUGGCCUUGGCAGACACAGCCAAGGCUAAACGAAAUGUGGGGUGUGAAUGCCAUGGAACAGUACCUAGCCUUAGAAGACAAAGUGAUUGUGAUACUUGCUACAACAGGGAUGGGCUCUGAGGCCAUGUGCUUGAUGGAGCAAACCAGCCAUGAAAGGACAGCGUCUGUGUGAGCCCACUUUCUGGGGUCCCCAGAAGCAUCAGCUCCAUACAGGCAGGAAAAAAGACAGUGGGAGUCAGGCAGUGUCAGUUCCAGUGGCUGCAGUUUCCAACUGGGAAGAGCAGAGUUCAGGACUCGGGUGGUGGCCACAGCCACACAACUGCGUGAAUGUGCUCGGUGCCACUGAACUGCCUACUUCAAAACAGUCAAACUGUAAGUUUUAUGCUACAUAAGGAGGUAUUGCAGGGUUUCUGGAACACCACGAAGAAGUAAUGGACUGUACUUCCUUUGUACUUUUUAUUUCUAGAUCCAUGCGAAGUUGCUGAAUCGCUGUGGUUGGGCUCAAACUUGCAAUCUUCCUGCCUCAGCCUCCCAGAGUGCUAAGAUAACAGGCAGACCCUGCUUCUUACUUUUCAGCUCGGGACAGCCAGCCCUGGCCACCCUCUCCCUGGCUGCUGUUCUCCCACACAAAUCUCUUGUUCCUAGAUCCUCUGGGUUUGUCUCCCUCUUUCCUGCCCCUUUUAUAAAUUCCAUUUGUGCCUCUGUUCCCUAUCCUAGCUUACCAACUGACUCUUCAGGUGAGGACACAAAGCGUGUUGCAGGUUAUGGACUGUUAACAAACCAUGACAUUGACAUCUGUGCUGGAUAACUGGGACAGGGCACACAUACCCUUUAAGAAGUCAAGCAAACAUUAGAGAGUGUAUUCGCCAGCUGUCCCACUGACGGACACAGGACCAAUACUCAUAGUUUAGAGGAGGAGAGGUCUGAUUGGCUCAGGGUUUCAGGAAAUUCAGUCCAUUGGCUGCCUCUGAGGCAAGUGCAUCCUGGGAGAGGGACCUGGUGGAGCAAAGCUAUUUAGUUCACGGUGGCUGAAAGCAGAACAGGGGAACGGCUCCGGGGAGAAGGGGCAGGGACUCUAGGGCAUACCCAAGGUCAUACCUCCAUAACCCACCUGGAUACACUCAGAGCCAUUCUGGUGGAUCCUGAAGCCAACUAGGUAGAUGCAGUCAAACUUAGCAUCACACGGGAGGAGCCCACUGUCGCAGAAUAUGUGGGUGGUUCAGUGAUGACAAACCACGCCCUGGUGACCUGCCUCUACCAGGAAGGUAUCGCUAGCUCCCUGCAGGUUUCCUUGAGCUCCUCACAGCCCCCAUCCCCUGCUGAGACGUGUGUUCACUGCAGUACUGCCUCCUGAGCCUUCUGAGCUGGACAUGCCACGUGCCCUUCUGCACUGGCUCCUUCUAGUACAUUCUGUAUCUGAGUCUUCUCAGGGCUGUGAAAGCCCUCACCAUGCUUUCUGUCUCCUGCAUACUGCUCCUUGGUAUGAGUGGACCUCGAGGCACUGGCUGUUCCUGAAGGUUGAUGAAUCUGGUUUUCCAGUCCUGGUCAUUUUGGAACUUGCGAUCAGGCCCUUUGUUCAUGUAAUUGCAGACCUUGACCCUUCUCUGCUUUGUAAAUCCUAAACUUUGGGAACAGGUUAGCCAUUGAACAAACUCACUCCAAAAUGUUCAAGUGAGCUGGGUGUGGCAACGCACACCUGUAAUCCCAGCACUUUGGAAGGCUCCGGCAGGAUUGCAAAUUCAAGCUCAGCCUUUGGAAUUUAUCAAUUUAGUGAGACUCUGCCUCAAAAUACAAAAGAAAUGGGUGGUGUGAGGAUGUAGCUCAGUGCAAAGGCCCUGAGUUCAGUGCCCUACCCUGGUAGCAAUAAAGAAUUAAAUUCUGGGGCUUCUGGGCCUGGAGGUUUCGAUGCUGAGAUCAGAGCAUGAAAUUCCACUUCCGUGGUGGUCAGGAGUUUGGGGACACUGGCCAAGGGGAGUGUGAGGACAGGGCUGAGAUGGUCCUGCGGCCUCCAGACCAGCCAGGGCUGACGGGCACUGUCCCUCUCAGGUCACCAGAGUCCCUUGAGGUGUUUGGGUAGCCUCAUGGCUGUGUGGCACCUGGCAGGCCUGCAGGCUGCCUCUACCUGCACGGGCUCCCAUGAGGUCUGUUCUUCCCAGGGUCUGGAGUGUCCCACCACUCCGAGCAGGACCCAGCAGGACUUGUGCCGUUAGCGGGAUUCUCAGAGCGCUUGCUGGAUCAGUCUCUCCAGCACUUCAUUAAACACUCCAGUUUAAUAACAACCUCGGGGGGAUUCCCACCAGCAUUGGAGCCUGGAGGGUGGGAGCAAACAGCUGCAUAAUUAACGGGGCUCUCUCUCAGGGGUGGGGACAUGCGGGAGCCCUUGAAAGCAGGCAUGUUGCAAUUAGACUUCACACUCACCCUGUAUUGGCGCCCCAUAGAUCCAGCCCAGCCAGUGCUGGCUGCCACCACCUCCGUCAUCGUUAAUAAAUAGGGCCACAUACAACAGGGUCCAGGGUCCAGAUCCAGCCACCAGGUGUGACUGAGAUGGUGGUCUUCCGUGCAUGUACAAAGGUCACCCUGGACCUGGUGGGGGCCUGGUCACCUCCCCCCUCUCCACAUACCCACUGUUUCUUAUUUCCAACCUCCCAAAGCUCUCUCCACACUGCCCAUAGCCUGACCAGCCUCAGAGGAAAGCGCUUGGGGUGACAGACCACACAACCCUUGAGGUGACGUGGGCAGGCCCCUUGAGGUCCCCUGGACCCCAGCUUCUCCUUGGACAGGACCCAACUGGGUUCUAAAUGAUGGGACGCAGUGCAGGUGAGAACUGUCACUCUCAGGACAGUGGAACUCUCAGGGCGUGAGACUCCAUCUUGCUAGCUGACUUGUGCAGGCAUCUGUGGUGACCGGUCAGGGCAAGGAGGCCCGGUCCAGCACUGCUGCAGCCUGCACGAGUGGGAGCCAUUGCAGCUGACCGGCCAGGCCACCCUGUGAGAGGACUGAGUGAGCUAUGGCAGUGGAUAACUUAUGUGCUCUCAUCUCCCCAAGUCCUCUCUUGUGUAUAAAGAUGGCUUUCUGAGGGGACACACACAGGACGUCUCCUGUCAUUGAGUCACUGAGUUUCUUGCACUCAGUAGAGGUGAAAUGCCUCCUCCUGCCAGAAGUCCUCCCGAUUGCCCUCCCUCCUGAGAGAGUGGUCAGGGCUUCUAUAGAGAGAAGCCAUCAUCUCUGGGGGCCAAGUCUGGGGACGAAGGUGGAGAGGCAGGCAGAGGGCUUGCAGGGUCCUGUCUGAGAGCUCUCGCUAAAGUCACAGUCUUGUGCACUCGGGCAGGGCUGGACCAGGAGACCCCUGGUCCGGUGCAAUGGGCUCCUCCUAUUCUGCCUCAGGGCAUCUCCUCCCCUUCCUUACACCCCACUGACUGCUCACAGCAACUUCUGAGAGUCCCCAAGGCUUAUCUGCCUCAGUCCCCCAAAUGCUCAGUCCUCAGAAGCUAUGAGUUAGGAUCGCUGCUCGCAGCUGUCCAAAGCCACUGUCAGCCCUUCUGGCCUUCACCCAGCACCUGAUGUGUGUGGUUUCUUCCAGCAAGUCCAGCAUCCCUCAGCCACACACUCAAAUUCCAAAAUGCUCCAGGCCGGCAACUCUCUGGGUGUGCUCAGAGUUUCAGAUUUCAGAGCUGCAGAUUAGAGAUGUUCCGCUGGUAAAUGUGAUGCAAAUAUUCAAGCUCUGAAAUCUGAAACAUGUGGGUAAGGAACACUAAAUUUGUGUUAGGGUUUCUUCCUGUAAUUAAGGACAAUCUAGGCUCAGAGAAGUGCUGUGACUUGACUAGAGACACGCAGCUGGGCCAAGACUUGAACUCUGAUCUGCCUGAUCCCAAAACUCAGGUCUGUGCUCCUGUCCACCCCACGCUGUAGCCCCAGGGACUUGAGAACACUGGCUGGGGUCCGAUUCUCCCUUAAUAAGCUCCAGUGGAGGGAGAUUUCAAUCCAAUAAUACAAAGCUGCAAUAACCGUUAUAAUUAAUUUAUACAAAAGACAUUAUAAAAUUACACUCUGUGCAUUCCAAUCCCAUCCACAAGGUACACCAGCUUCCCAGUUAAGCUACAGGGCCUCAUGAAGACAGACGGGAAAGAGGUAUUUCAAUAUUUCUUAUAAUUUUAUAUUCUCUCUAAUAUCUCUCAUGCUAAUUUCAUUAUGCAACACAGUCGGCACGGUGAUGUAAUUAUUGAAAAGUAAUUUUGCAAUAAAUGGAUUUAAAUGUG